GCCCCAUAGACCCCCUCAAUCCCCCCUCCCCAAAUUCUUCCACGUUGGGACUUGAAGGGGGGGGGGGAAAGGGCAAACAAACAGGUGUCAGAAAGAGAACGCGCCAUUACGCGCAGACAAAAGUGUUUGGGGUGUUUGGUGUGAUUGUUGAGUCGCCCUUCAGUGACCCCAAAGACCCCCUCCCUCCCUCCCUCCCUCCCUCUCAAGGACCCCACCCCAAGUUGAAAGGACAAUUGUGGGGGGUCUGCUAUCAGCAUUGGCGCGGGGCUUUGCAGGUGGAGAAAGAGGGGGGCUUGAAAAAGAAUCCAUGGGGAGGAAAGCUUCCCAGAAUUAAAUGUGGGGAGGGGCUCACUUCCAGACCCCGCUUUGCUUCGGUUCUUGGCCCAAAAAAAAUAUUUCAAAGGUGGACCACUCCCUUCGGCUCUUGUUAAAAAUGGACUCUGAUUUUGGGAGCCGACUUUUAGUUUCUCCAUGCACACUUCUCCCUUUUGCCGCAUAUACAUAUUUCCAAAGCUAAAAUAUUAUAUCCAUAUAAUCCAUAUAUCCAUAUAUGUAUGCAUAUAUAUAUGCACAUAUACACAGACAGACAGACACACAUACAUACAUACAAAAUAUGUAUGUAUGGAUGUAUAUAAUAUUUCAGGUCUGAAAAUAUACAUUUAUAUACAUAUACAUCUAUACACAUAUAUACUGUACAUACAAAAUAUGGAUGGAUAUAUACAUAUAUACAUACAAAAUAUGGAUGUAUGGAUGUAUAUAAUACUUCAGGUCUGAAAAUAUACAUCUAUAUACAUAUACAUCUAUACAAAUAUAUACUGUACAUACAAACUAUGGAUGGAUGUAUAUAAUAUUUCAGGACUGGAAAUAUACAUCUAUACACACAUAUAUAUACAAAAAUGGAUGGAUUUAUAUAAUAUUUCAGGUCUGGAAAUAUACAUACAUACACACACAUAUAUAUACAAAAUAUGGAUGGAUGUAAUAUUUCAGGUUUGGAAAUAUACAUCUAUACACAUACAGACAUACAAAAUAUUUAUGGAUGUAUAUAAUAUUUCAGGUCUGGAAAUAUACAUCUAUACACAUAUAUACAAACAAAACAUUUAUGAAUGAAUAUAAUAUUUCAGGUCUGGAAAUAUACAUAUAUACAUACAUACAUACAAAAUAUGUAUGGAUAGAUGUAUAUAAUAUUUCAGGUCUGGAAAUAUACAUCUAUACACAUAUAUACAUACAAAAUAUGGAUGGAUGGAUGUAUAUAAUAUUUCAGGUCUGGAAAUAUACAUAUAUACAUACGUACAUACAAAAUAGGUCUGGAAAUAUACAUACAUAGAGAGAUACAUACAUACACAAUAUGGAUUGAUGGAUGUAUAUAAAACAUUACAGGUCUGGAAAUAUACAUACAUACAUACGAAAUAUGGAUGCAUGUAUAUGAUAUGGGUGAAAAGAGAGAAAGAAAAAGCAAAACCAAAUGGAACAAACUCCUCUCCAGUUGGGUUCUUUUGGAACCGACUUUAGUUUUGGGUUUUUUUGCCCAACGAAUUUAAUCAAGACAUUCAAAUAAUUGCGCUUUUCAGGGUGGGAUCUGCUAGAUCUCCGGUCCCUUUCUCUAAAUCCAAAUUCCUUCAGCAUUUGUAAGCCCCCUCCCACAAAUAAAUCCCACUCAAAGAGUGCCAAGGUGCCCCAAACAUUUACAAUAUUCUGGUUUCCCAGCUGCGUUAAGAAUCCUCCCCAGGAAGGUUGGGAUUUUAUUUCCCUCCCCAACUAGUCUUCAAGGGGAGAACGCCUUUAUCCCCCCCCCCCUUUAUCUUGUUGUUGUUGUUGCUGUUGUUGUUUACCAAAGAAGAAGCCAGAAACGUCGGGAAAACGCAAAGGGGGGGGGGACGACUUUUGGGUAGUUAGUUACCGACAAAGUUCCCCAAGACGUUUGGGUCGGUCGAGGAGUUUGGGUAAGUCUGUAACGCCAAAAAUGAGACUUACAAGGAGGAGGAAAAGGCAAUCCUGACACAAUUGGAACCCAGCGGUGUGAGUUAAAAGUGGAUUGGAUUAUUAUUAUUAUGAUUAUUAUUAUGAUUAUUAUUAAUUAUUAUUGGCCUCGUUGAUUCACGAGUAGACCUACCCGAAAGUCGGCAUUUCACAAUACUAGGGCUUUUCUUUUUUAUUUAUUAAAAUUAACAGCCGAAAGAGACCAAAACUGGAUCCAUACUGACAUAUAACCCCGAUUAUCAAGUCAGAUAAUACGGAGUAUCUAUUUUGAACCGGAUUAUAUGAGUCUUUCGUUUUUAUUUAUUGAAAUGAGAUCAGGGCUGGAGCGGCACUGACAUAUAACCCGGAUUAUCAAAUCAGAUAACCCGACACUGACAUAUAAACCAGAUUAUUAAAUCAGAUAAUACGGAUUAUCUGUUUUGAACCAGAUUAUAUGAGCCUUUCGUUUUUAUUUAUUGAAAAGAGACCCAGGCUGGAGCAGCACGGACAUAGAAUCCGGAUUAUCAAAUCAGAUAAUCCGAUUAUAAAAUCAGAUAACCCGACACCGACAUAUAACCCAGAUUAUCAAGUCAGAUAAUAUGGAGUAUCUGUUUUGAACCGGAUUAUAUGAGUAUUUUGUUUUUAUUUAUUGAAAUGAGACCAAGGCUGGAGCACUGACAUAUAACCUGGAUUAUCAAAUCAGAUAAUCCGAUUAUCAAAUCAGAUAACCCGACACCGACAUAUAAAGCAGAUUAUCAAGUCAAAUAAUACGGAUUAUCUGUUUUGAACCGGAUUAUAUGAGUCUUUCGUUUUUAUUUAUUGAAAUGAGACCAGGGCUGGAGCGGCACUGACAUAUAACCCGGAUUAUCAAGUCAGAUAACCCAACACCAACAUAUUACCCUGAUGAUUAAAUCAGAUAAUCCGACACUGACAUAUAAAUCAGAUAAUCCGGAUUAUCAGAUCUGAACAUUUUAUGGAUUUUUUUAAAAAUUGAAAUGACAGCCGAAGGAGAGCAGCGCUGGAUCCACAUAUAACCCGGACUAUCAAGUAAAACAAUCCGGAUUAUCAGUUUUGAACCGGAUUAUCUGAGUCUCCAGUGCCAGUUCGAAGCAGACAAACUAAGCGUAAAAUCCCUUGAAAGUGGCAUGGAAGUUGGGCAUGGAAAAUGCCAUUUCGGGGAGAUGAAACCCGGCUUUUUCUUUCUUUUUGGGGGGCCAGUGGGGGAGGGCGAGGGAGGGGCGCCCAAGUGUACAUUGCCUGUGAAUAGGAAUGGUUUGCCAUCCGUGUCCAAUGCACUUUUUGUUCGUCGUCAUUCCUUUCCUUCCUUCCUUUCUUUCUUUCUUUCUUUCGCCUUCGAGAUCUUGGCUGCAAACAAAACGAGAAAAGCCGCCUUUUCGUGGAGCUGCUUUUCCUCUUCUGUACAGAAAAGAGCAUGAGAUUGGAAAUGUUAAUGUUCUCCUUCCCUUCCUUCCUUCCUUCCUUCCUUCCUUCCCGGCAUGCGCCUUUCCAGACCAAGGUUUGGAGGUUUUUUUAUUUUUAUUAUUUUGUAAUUAUGAUGAUAAUUAUUGCGACUCUCUCCCCACGCGAAGGGGAGAGGCUCGACCUUAAAUUAUGAAACUAGGCGUCCAAAUAAUAUUUUCUCAUUAAAAAAGGUGUCAAGAUGGUCA